rnacentral:rRNA from 1 species
UACGGAGGAUCCGAGCGUUAUCCGGAUUUAUUGGGUUUAAAGGGUGCGUAGGCGGCCUUUUAAGUCAGCGGUGAAAGUCUGUGGCUCAACCAUAGAAUUGCCGUUGAAACUGGGGGGCUUGAGUUGGAGAGAAGUACGCGGAAUGCGCGGUGUAGCGGUGAAAUGCUUAGAUAUCGCGCAGAACCCCGAUUGCGAAGGCAGCGUACCGGCUCCACACUGACGCUGAGGCACGAAAGCGUGGGUAUCGAACAGG